rnacentral:rRNA from 1 species
GACGAACGCUGGCGGCGUGCCUAAUACAUGCAAGUAGAACGCUGAAGGAGGAGCUUGCUUCUCUGGAUGAGUUGCGAACGGGUGAGUAACGCGUAGGUAACCUGCCUGGUAGCGGGGGAUAACUAUUGGAAACGAUAGCUAAUACCGCAUAAUAGCAGUUGUUGCAUGACAACUGUUUGAAAGGUGCAAUUGCACCACUACCAGAUGGACCUGCGUUGUAUUAGCUAGUUGGUGGGGUAACGGCUCACCAAGGCGACGAUACAUAGCCGACCUGAGAGGGGGGUCGGCCACACUGGGACUGAGACACGGCCCAGACUCCUACGGGAGGCAGCAGUAGGGAAUCUUCGGCAAUAGACGGAAGUCUGACCGAGCAACGCCGCGUGAGUGAAGAAGGUUUUCGGAUCGUAAAGCUCUGUUGUAAGAGAAGAACGAGUGUGAGAGUGGAAAGUUCACACUGUGACGGUAUCUUACCAGAAAGGGACGGCUAACUACGUG